ensembl:lncRNA
GUUUGAUUUUAUUUUGUUUACUCCAGCGCCCCCUUCAGGAGAACAGCCCCUGCGUUCAGCGUAAAUGACCUUAAAUAGAAUUAGUUGUAAAUAUCUGAGACUGCGCGUCUUUAAGGACCGCAGUAAACACCAGUCACACCAGUGAGGCUGGUCCCAGUCGUCCUGCAGCAGGUGGUCUGACGCAGCAGAGCAGCAGCACCCCCGCAGCUCUCAGAUGGUUCGUCCCACACAGGAGCAGAGCAGAGGGAACGGCCCACCUCUGCAGCAGGGAGGGGGGAGGACAGGAAGCUGUGAGGAGGUUACGCACUUUUACCUGAAUGUGUCAGACACGGAAUUACACUGAAAUAAGUGUUUCGGGUGGUUUUCUUUUACUUUUUAAAAAAACACUUUAAACUGUGAAGUGACGGCGGCCGGGGGGCUGCUGCAGGGCGACAGAUGCUGGAGGAGAGAUAAGACGAGAUCACAGGCGGAAAUAUUUAACCUCCUGUUUAUCCAGCAGUGCAGGAAGCCGUCAGAUUAUUCAAGUAGUAAUACCGCAAAGUACAAGUACUCCUUCUGUGCAAACCCUGCCCAGAGAUGAAUUUUCUUAAUUAUAGAUUGUUAAUAUUCUCAUUUGAAUAAUUCUUAGCUGAUUAUUUGAUUUGUAAAAAAUGAAAAAUGAGAAAAAUUCUCGUCAAGGUCAAAAAUCCAAAAUUAUUUCCAAGAAAAGAGAAAAAUAUUUGAAUUAAAAUGUUAUGAAAUAUUUAUUCAUGUUGUAGUUAAAGCUGUAGUAGGAUGGUUAGGAGGUCACAUUAAAUGUAGUGUCGUCUGCUGCCUUCUGUCAGAAGCUCUAAAUCAGUAAAGAAGUAAAGCUUCUGCAAGCAGCUCAAACUGUUUUCCUCCAAAACUUCAAACUUUGUUUUGCUGCCUGAUGAUGCAUCACAGCUGGAGCCGUCUGCAUGCACAGUGGUUCCCAACAUAUGGGUCGGAGCCCUCAGUAGGGUCACCUGACGAAUGUGGAGGUUGUUUUAUGAGAGGAAAGAAGACAAAAAGCUGCCGUGGUCUUUUUUCUGAGAUUUUUAUUUUGCAUUUAAAGAGUGUUUGAAAAUAAGAAGCUGUUAUGGAGCUCCAGAAUAUUCUUGAACACCCA